UACCUUUCUACCUGAGCUGUGUAACACUCAGUAUUCUGUGGCUCCCAAGUGCCAGAAUACCUGACCCACUCCUGUUCCAUCCCGAUCCACCCGAAACGCUUACACCGGUCAGGACGUGAAAGGCUGCAGAGACUAACCUGGGCUUUCAGUUUCUCAUCGUGCAAGAGCAGUGUUCUUCAUCCAGAUGAUGGAGCAGCAAGGCACUGGCUUUGUUUUUCUAAACAAGGUCUUGAGGCUGGUGAAAUGUCCCAGCAGAUAAGGGAGCUUGCAGCCAAGCCAGAUCCACUGAUUUGACCUCCUGACCUUCCAUGGUGGAAGAAGAGAGCUGACACAAAGUUGUCCUCUGACCUCUACAUGCAUGGAAUGGCAUGUGCUCCCUGCCAAUAAAGACAUUAAUCUAAAAACUAAAA